rnacentral:lncRNA from 1 species
UUUAUAUUCAUCUUACCGAGGAGGAAAAUGAGAGUAACCUCUCUCAAGGUAUAUGAUGGCUUCAGCCUGAAAUGGCUUCUGGAGUGGACAGUAGGUCCUAGGGGUCACCAGAAUCUAGGAUUAUAUGGAGGUAUCUCAAAGCUAGUACCAGGAAACAGAGCAUGCUGAGCAAGUAAGACUUAAUAAAGAACCCAGGCAUUUCCCCUCAGCUUCGGCCAGAACAGGGCUGCUUGUAUGCAUUUUCAACAUUGGAUUCCAGGAAAGCUUCUGUAUUAAGAGUUCAAUUUGGCCAGGCAUGAUGUCUCAUGCCUGUAAUCCCAGCACUUUGGGAGGCUGAGGUGGUGGGAUUGCUUUAGCCCAGGAGUUUGAGACGAGCCUGGACAACAUUGGGAAACCCCCCUCUCUAUUAUUAUUAUUGUUAUCAUCAUCAUUAUUAUUAUUAUUUUCAAGUUCAGCUUAAGAAAACAUUUUGUUUCAAAAUAACUUCCUUGGCAAGUGGGAUCUUUGGAAGGGAUUUAAGCAGGGUGUAACACGUCAUAUUCACUUUUUGAAAUAUUGCCCAGAGACUGCAUAGAAAAUAGAUUGAGCCUAGAAACAAUUCUCCAGAGGAGAGUCAUAGAGGACCUGAACUAGGCAGUAGCAGAGGGAUGGAGACAAGAAGACCGCUGUGAGACAUGCCAGGGAAGACGGCCUUCUAGACCCUAGUGACUCUAAGCAUGGUCUCUGGGCCAACAGCCUCAGCAUCUCUCGGGAGAUUGUGAGAAAUGCGAAUUCUCAGGCCCCAACCCAGAUCUACUGAAUAAAAAUCUGCUUGGAAAAGAUCGCCAAGGGAUCCAUAUGCUCCUUAAACUUCAGAAGCACUGCUUUCAGACCACUUGCCUGGGAGAGGGAUGGAGGAAGGAAUGGACGAUGACUCUGAGCCUGUGUUCAAGCAUUAUAAAAUGGGUGAGACCUUCUAGAACAACAUGGAUGAGACCUUUCUUUGAGAAGAGUGCUUUCCCUUCAACAGUGCAAGUGCCAAGAAGCCAGGAGCCAUGUCUAUUUUCUUCUCUACAAGUUCUACUCAGUACCUAAUUCAGUGACUAAUACAGAGCAGGAAUUUGACAGAUGCCUGUUGAAUGAAUGACAAUAGGGGAUUUUGGACAGUUGGAUUAAUUUUUCCAUUUAAGAUGAGCAUACUGAAGCCCAGAGACAUUAAGUAACUAGGCUCAUUAGUAGUGACAGUGAUGUUGCCACCAAACUGUAAAGCCAGGAUUUGGACUCAGGCAAGUGACCCCACAGUUGUGUUCUUGAGUGCUCCACCGCAGCAUCACUACAGGAAGUGGACUAGAUUCUCAUGGGCCUUCAGGAUGAUGAAGAAUUCUGGACGAUUUACAGUGGAAAAUCAGGAUUACUGUGGUUUUUGCCUGCUCCUCCCUGUUCUUCCUUCUUUGUUGUUUAGACAAAUUCUAAACGACAGACCUUCAGCUCUCAAAUGCUAGAACCUUGACGAAGAUUUAUAGCCUAUUCUCUUUAGAGUGCCACUUUUCCUUCCUUUCUUAACUGGACUAUGAAUGGCUCUUAUCUACUUUUGUUCUUUUAUUUUUUUCACAUUUUACUCCAAUUUCCUAGAAUAAAUUCAUAAAUAAUUGGAAGCUGGUUUGGAGACACAGCAAUAAAUUUUUUUAAAUGAUGCUUUGUAGUAGCGACUUAGGCAUUUUCCUUAUUAUGGAUAUGUCUGGACUGUACAAGGAUCUCUUUGUAUAACCAACCUCAAUAAACUGAUGGAUGGAACAGAGGCUUCAUUUGUCUUUGGCACAGUGGCACUAACCUGCUUCAGAAUUUUGACAUCAAUUGUUAGACAUUAAGUAACUUGCCUCUUUCUCAUGAGCCCAGUCAUCAAAAAGGGACAUGGAAAUAUCCUAAUGUUUCACCUGUUUUAUU